rfam:Drosophila willistoni strain TSC#14030-0811.24 scf2_1100000003192 genomic scaffold, whole genome shotgun sequence.
CGACCCCUAUUUCUAUCGGCCGGCGUCGGUGUCCGUGUGCUCGGGGCAGACCUCUAUCCUGAGGUCAUCCAACCAGGCUGUGUGCCCGGUCAUAGCGGUACGCCCGCAGCCCAGAGCACCGUGUUCGGAUGGGUCGUCUCCGGCUCCUGUGGGAUCUAGGCGCUCCAGGACGUUGCCGUCCCCCAUCCUUUAUAUGUCCGGGGUGGCAAUUGCAACAUGUUGCAAGGGGGGCGGUAUGCUCACGCCACCGGGUGAACAGCAGUGAGCGGCGAAGAGCAGUGAGGAGUGAGGAGGGUUUUCUGAUCCCCGGCAUCUACGGUCACACCAGGAGGGGUGACUGGGUUUUUUCCAAUGGGCAUCGCCAUUAUUACGAAUCGAGAUUUUCACCCGAACACCCGUUCAUCUCCUAUAUAUUUUUCUCGAAUUGUCAAUCUUUUUUAAACCGAACCAUUUCGUGUGUGUGUCGGUAUACCUAGUGAAUUCAAUAAAACAUCAUUAAUUAAAACGAAGGUUUUCGCGCGUUUUAAUCACUCACGUACGAGACCCUGAAGAUAUUGGCACCCGCCAACCAUUUCAGGCUUAGUCGGGUCCUUCCGCCCCUCCACAAACAAUAAUAGUGUGCAUUUUUUCCAUAUAAGGACAUUGUAGUCUAUUAACAUAAACCAAAUUUAUCGUAAAAUAUGACUUAUAGUUUAUUUAAAUUAUUUUGCUUGCAUUUUAACAUAGAAUAAAUGUCAUUAAUUUGAUAAAGUGUUGAUAGAUUUAUAUGAAUACAGUGCGUUAAUUUUUCGGAAUUAUAUUAUAGCAUGAUUAUCAUUGAUUUUCUGUGUUUUUUCUAUGCACUUGUAUGAUUAACAAUGCGAAAGAUUCAGGAUACCUUCGGGACCCGUCUUGAAACACGGACCAAGGAGUCUAACAUAUGUGCAAGUUAUUGGGAUAUAAACCUAAUAGCAUAAUUAACUUGACUAACACAGCAUAAAUGCUGUGACCCGAAAGAUGGUGAACUAUACUUGAUCAGAUUGAAGUCAGGGGAAACCCUGAUGGAAGACCGAAACAGUUCUGACGUGCAAAUCGAUUGUCAGAAUUGAGCAUAGGGGCGAAAGACCAAUCGAACCAUCUAGUAGCCAACUUCCUUCCGAAGUUUCCCUCAGGAUAGCUGUUGCAUUUAAAUGUUAUAUAAAAUAAUCUUAUCUGGUAAAGCGAAUGAUUAGAGGCCUUAGGGUCGAAACGAUCUUAACCUAUUCUCAAACUUUAAAUGAGUAAGAACCUUAACUUUCUUGAUAUGAAGUUUAAGGUUAUGAUAUAUUGUGCCCAGUGGGCCACUUUUGGUAAGCAGAACUGGCGCUGUGGGAUGAACCAAACGUAAUGUUACGGUGCCCAAAUUAACAACUCAUACAGAAACCAUAUAAGGCGUUGUUUGCUUAAAACAGCAGGACGGUGAUCAUGGAAGUCGAAAUCCGCUAAGGAGUGUGUAACAACUCACCUGCCGAAGCAACUAGCCCUUAAAAUGGAUGGCGCUUAAGUUGUAUACCUAUAAAUUACCGCUAAAGUAGAUGAUUUAUAUUAUUUAUAAUAUAAAUUUUGAAACUUUAGUGAGUAGGAAGGUACAAUGGUGUGCUUAGAAGUGUUUGGGUAAGCCUGCAUGGAGCCGCCAUUGGUACAGAUCUUGGUGGUAGUAGCAAAUAAUCGAAUGAGACCUUGGAGGACUGAAGUGGAGAAGGGUUUCGUGUGAACAGUGGUUGAUCACGAGUUAGUCGGUCCUAAGUUCAAGGCGAAAGCCGAAAAUUUUCAAGUUUCAAAAAUGUCAAAGGAAAUAAUAAAUAAUAAAACACUUGAAUAAUUUUGAACGAAAGGG